rnacentral:sRNA from 1 species
UACACUCAUAAAUAAAAUUCAGUUGCAGUUAAAAAAAAAAAAAAAGCAGAGAUAUCAUCAAUAAAAUCAUAUAUAUAUGAAAGUUGGCCAACUAAAUAUUUUUUUUUUUUUAUACAAAACUUAGUGAUAAAAAAUUAAAAUUUCACAUUGCAUUGAAUCAUCCGUCAAUCUCACUCUUAAUUAAAUAUCUUU